CUUCGGUAAUGACGUUAGGAAAGCGAGCGGCGGAUGGGUGAGUAACACGUGGGGAACCUGCCCCAUAGUCUGGGAUACCACUUGGAAACAGGUGCUAAUACCGGAUAAGAAAGCAGAUCGCAUGAUCAGCUUUUAAAAGGCGGCGUAAGCUGUCGCUAUGGGAUGGCCCCGCGGUGCAUUAGCUAGUUGGUAAGGUAAAGGCUUACCAAGGCGAUGAUGCAUAGCCGAGUUGAGAGACUGAUCGGCCACAUUGGGACUGAGACACGGCCCAAACUCCUACGGGAGGCAGCAGUAGGGAAUCUUCCACAAUGGACGCAAGUCUGAUGGAGCAACGCCGCGUGAGUGAAGAAGGUUUUCGGAUCGUAAAGCUCUGUUGUUGGUGAAGAAGGAUAGAGGUAGUAACUGGCCUUUAUUUGACGGUAAUCAACCAGAAAGUCACGGCUAACUACGUGCCAGCAGCCGCGGUAAUACGUAGGUGGCAAGCGUUGUCCGGAUUUAUUGGGCGUAAAGCGAGCGCAGGCGGAAGAAUAAGUCUGAUGUGAAAGCCCUCGGCUUAACCGAGGAACUGCAUCGGAAACUGUUUUUCUUGAGUGCAGAAGAGGAGAGUGGAACUCCAUGUGUAGCGGUGGAAUGCGUAGAUAUAUGGAAGAACACCAGUGGCGAA
rnacentral:rRNA from 1 species